rnacentral:rRNA from 1 species
GUCGAGAAUCUUCCGCAAUGCGCGAAAGCGUGACGGAGCGACACCGCGUGAUGGAUGAAGUCCUUCGGGGCGUAAACAUCUUUUAUAAAGGAGGAAAUUUUUGACGUUACUUUAUGAAUAAGGGGCUCCCAAUCUCGUGCCAGCAGGAGCGGUAAUACGAGAGCCUCAAGCGUUAUCCGGAAUCAUUGGGCGUAAAGGGUGCGUAGGUGGUUUGAUUAGUCUCCCGUUAAAACUUCGAGCUUAACGCGAAAAGAGCGGGGGAAACGGUCAAACUAGAGUAUGUGAGAGGUGUGUGGAACUCAUGGUGUAUGGGUGAAAUCCGUUGAUAUCAUGGGGAACACCAAAAGCGAAGGCAGCACACUGGCACAUCACUGACACUGAGGCACGAAACCUAAGGUAGCGAAUGGGAUUAGAAACCCCGGUAGUCC